GACGAACCGUCCAAACGUUAUUCGGAAUCACUGGGCUUACAGAGUUCGUAGGCGGUCUGGAAAGUUGGGUGUGAAAUCCCUCGGCUCAACCGAGGAACUGCGCUUGAAACUACCAGACUCGAGGGAGAUAGAGGAAAGCGGAACUGAUGGCGGAGCGGUGAAAUGCGUUGAUAUCAUCAGGAACACCAGUGGCGAAGGCGGCUUUCUGGGCAGUACCUGACGCUGAGGAACGAAGGCCAGGGGAGCGAACGGG
rnacentral:rRNA from 1 species